GGUGUGCUUACGUGUGUAAACUUGUGCGUGUGCGUGUGUGGUGCAACCUCCCCCCACCCUCUCCAACGCAGAGCGGCACACCUGACAUGUUGUCGUAUGCUGACCCGCUUCAGUUUUGAAUUGGCACACUUCUCCUGCCCGGCCCUCCUCACCGCUCCACCCCUGUGAUGUGUUCAACACAUGCGCGCUGGCAAACAUAGCAGAGAAAGCCAUACACUUAGGCAGAGGAAGAUCAUCAAAGACGCGGGGCUCGCGCAGCAGCAGCGGCAGUAGAGGCGCGAAGAGAUCCGUGAGUACGCUGCCACCCAGACAAGACGAGGAGGGCUAAGCGGUGUUACACGUAGCACCUGCACAGCAACUUCUCUCUCGCCUACACACUUUCGCUUCCUGAGGAAGAAGCGUUUUGCACGGCGGUCGAAUAGACAGUGGCGGCCGCCCCCCCUCCGGUCAGCGAUGGAGACGGCACCCUUGCCCUCACUUGCAGCUACGCCUGCCAGCGCUGCAGUGCCCAGCAAGCCGCAGUUGUCGAUGCCCUCCGUGGCGACUGUCGCCGACGCUUCGUCCACUGCUCUAUCUAGCGACUGCAUGGCCCGUCUCAACACCGUCAUCGCGGACGACAUCCGCCAGCUCAGCCGCGAUGACCUCGACGUGAAGCGGUGGUUGAACACGGCGCUCUCGCGCCUGUUGGAGGCUGCGAAAGAGGUGUCGCCCGCCGGCGCCACCGCUGCUGCCGCAGCAUCGCCAGUACCCUCUCACGCUUCAACUGCAUCCUUAGCGUCUGCGACGACGACAUCUACCCGUAAGCCUCUGCAUCUGGAAGAGCAGCUGGUGCAACUCUUGCAUGCCCGCGUGCAGACUCACAGUCAAGAGCUCAGCGCCGGGAUUGAGGAUCUCAUCUCCUCCACCCUUGUGCGGCUGCCGCGAACCACGAUGGAGCUGACGCGCAUGGCGGCAGAGGCUGCAGAGCUGACGGAGCAGCUGCAGCGCAUCGAGGGCGUCGUCCACCCCGCCGUAGUCGCUGGCUCCGAAGCCUAUGUGGCGGAGCUGCAGCUGCGCAAUGCCUCGGAGUCAAAGCUGCAGAGGUGCAGGCGAUACCUGGAGAAGGCGGCACGCGUGAAGGAGAGCAUCCGCAGCCUGCAGUACCUCGUCGAGCAACGCGAGUCGACGAAUAACAAAACAGGAAGCGGCAACGGCAGCGACGCUCUCAAGAGCCUAGAAAAGGGAACGGACAGCAGCGCCGGCCCGAUCACCGCUGGCAACCCCGUGAAUGGCUCCGCGUCGUCGGGCAAGGCGGCGGCUCGGCAUCGCGACUUGGACGAGGUCGCCGGCAUCAUCCGCCAAGCUCGCGAAGACCUGAAGGAAAUCACAGCUGUCGAUGACACCUUCGGAGAGCAGUACAAGGCUCAGCUUGAGCUAUUCGAGCAGUAUAUUGAGCACGCUCUCGAGGAGGAGUGUGUGGCGUGUCUUCUGGCUCAUCAGUUGGAGCGUGCUACUCGCCUCAUGACGACCCUUUACAGCAUAGGACGUGCCGAUGCCGUUUUGAAGUGCUACGGGGAGCAGGCUGCGACGCAGAUGGCGGCGAUGCAGCAGGAGAAGCUGCGUGCGUGUGUGAGCAGUGGAGGUGCUGGCGUGCACAGGAGCAACGUGGCCGCUGCGGCGGUGGCGGAGCUGCUCCGCCGCGAGAUCAUCCCGGACGACAACGCCUUUGUGUCGCGUGAGCUCACGUUUCUGUCCAGCCUUGUACGGCGCACGCUGGAGGAGGCCCAGGCGACGUCUUCGUCCAAGUCAGGCGGUGCAGGGGCCAGUGGGGCUGCUCAAGAAGCAGCAACGACGACACGCAGCAAGCCCCCUGGCGCCUCUACCCCCUCUGCAGCGACGGCCUCCCCAGCGGUGCUCGCGUCAGUGCCCACGGGGGGGGCGAGUGGAGGCGGCCACAUCGCUGUCGAGGACGAUCCCCGCGCUGUGCAGGCUCUGGAAGUUAUAUCCAUCAUCCUCCAUAAGCUCUACGAGCCGGUGCAAUCGACGUUGCAGCCACUGCUGACCGAGCGGCCCGACACAACAAACGCCGAUUUUGUGGCGUGCCUCUCGGCCAUUCAACUGAUCAAGAUCUCCGCGACGUCCGUGACGACGGCGGCACCACAAGGGAUGGCAGGGGAGCAGUCGUCGGCCAGCACGGGUUUUGCGACGCCGUCAGUGACGGCGAAGGACCCGUUGGAAAAACUCGCGCGCGAGGUGACGCACCGUGCCCUCGGCCUCUUCGCCGGGCUUUUCCACGAGGAGCGUGUGCUGGACCGGUACGCGGCGCGUGUCUGCGCACCGGUUGCAGCGUUCUGCGAGCAGCCGCUAUCGAGGGCUCUCUCAGCUGUCGCUAGCACUGCCACCGCUGACGAGCUCGACGAGGACAGCCUGACGAGCGUGCUCACGCAUGCGAUCCAGGAGGUGCUCGUCUACGCGCCGGAGAAGAUUACGACGCGAUGUACGACGGCCUGGCACGCGUCGCUUUCGAAGAUGCUCGCGCAGCUGCAGCCGACGCCCAGCACGUCGCAGCACACGCUGCUGCAGUAUUUGUACAUCUACAAGCGCCGCGUGCGUCCGCUCGUGAUGAGGGCGCAGCAGAGCGUGGAGGACUGGCUAUCGACGGGCACGGUACACGAGCGCUACCCGACGAGCGCUGCAGUGCUCUGCUCUGAUCUGCAGACGCGUGUGUGGGCCCCGCUGAAGGAUGAGGUGGAGGAGGCUCAGGAGUUCAUCCAGAAGAGCAUCCUGAACAACAUCACGCGACCGAUCCUCGCCACGGUCGCAGCUUACACGUCUCUGCCGUACUGGGGCAACGCGUUAGCCUCAGCCGACGGCUCCUCUAGCUCCACUCCUGUCGCGGUAGGCGCAUCGAAACCCUUGGGUACCUACACUCAAGGGCAAGCCGCCCCAAGCAGCGCGGUGCGCAACAUGGGAGAGAUGCUCAUGGAGCUGCCUCUGACGCUGGAGACUCUCGGCUCCGGUGCUGUGGCAGAGUGCCGCCGCAACGCUCAAGGGACUGGCAGCGCUGGAAAUGGUGCCAGCGACGCAGAUGCCGAAGAUGGAGUGCGUGCGUUGAUCGAGGAACAGGCGGAGGAGUGGCUCAGGGCCGUGGUGAGCGAUGUGGUGAGCACCUUUGUGAAGGAAAAGGUGUUGCAGCUGCAGAUAGGGCCGUUUGGGUCCGUGCCGCCGUCGCAGCAACAACAGCGGGAGCACCAAACACAGCGAGCGACGUCAAGCGCGAGUGAGGCGAUGCAGUGCCGCUACGCCGCCGCGCUGGAACAACUGACGACCGAUCUUGACUACGUACGCAACAUUCUCUCCGCUGUCAACGAGGAGUCUCUCGAGACUGUUGAGCGGGUGCUGCGGGCCGUGCAAGCGCUGCCACCUGCUUCCGUGUGUGCGGUCUUCGUGGUGGGCAACGCCAUUAACAUGACAACACUGGAUGGCGGCGCAGCUGACAAUGCCGUGGAGCAGCAUCAGCAACCGCAGCAGUAGAAAUCGGGACAGCAUCUCGUCAACAGAGAGGCACUGACGUGUGUGGAAGGGGGGAGAGAGAUGCGGCUACAGGUAUGUUUAUGUAUGUGUGUUUGGUUGUGGUUCUAUGCAGAACACGCGGCACACCCAGGCACGUUCGCUGGCUGGUCGUCUUUGUCGGGAGACAGUGCGUGAGAAAGAGUGAGAGCGGGGGUGGGGGGGGGGGGGGGAGGAGGGGCUCUUUACAUGCUCAUCGUUAUUGAGUCGCUGUUGUUGCGUGUGUGUACGUGGCACCUGCACUCGUUUCCCUCGCCGACUGUUGCUGCUGGUGUUUGUUCUCUCGUUGCGUGUGUUGAGUGUGUCGCAGGAGAGGAGGGAACGGGCAACGGCGUACCUUCAUGCUAGCUUUCCACGCACACAAGGCACCGUCUACUGUUGAUUGCGACCCUAUCCCGCAUGACCGCGUGGGCGGAAAGUCCUCGAAUGGUUGCCGGAAGGAAGCGCUCCAGGUGACGGCAGCACAGACAAACAUUUCGAUGAAGUCGUGCGUGACCGCUGGUGGCUGGCGCGCACCACCGGAAGAAUUCAAUCGACAGAGAGCCACAUCGUUGUUUUUCUUGAGGGGUCGUUCAAAGAAGUGGUUGCCUUUCCUCCCAUGAUGUGAUGUUGUCAUGUGUGUAUGCCGGCGUACAGGCCGCGCGGAUGGUUUUCACACCCCUCUCUCGCGUUCAAGUGAUUCGGGGUGCUGUCUUUCUCGUUUCGUUUUUGUUUCCGUGUCCAUUCCUGCGCCACACAACAUGCGCUAAG
rnacentral:misc_RNA from 1 species